rnacentral:tRNA from 1 species
GGUCAGAUAGCUUAAAUUGGUAGAGCAAGCCAGUCCAAUAUCAUAUGAUCAAUAUCAUCAGAUGGCUCAUGGGUGGAUUCGGGUUCGAAUCCCGAUCUGACCG